rnacentral:lncRNA from 1 species
UAUGCUCAUUUUUUUCAGAUGUAAAAUGUUUAACCAUUAUUUAAAACAAAUCUGCAUAUUAUUAUGAAUUAUUCAUUUUCAAAUUUUGUACUGUAGAAGAUCUAUAGCGGGUGGUUGGUUGAAGAUGGGAAAUAAUUGUGGGAUCGUGGCCUAGAUUCAUCAUCUUUACUUGACUAGCCUCUCUCCACAGUAUCCUCAGCUAACCCAGGAUCCCUUUUUACCCAUUUUUAGAUGGAAGUUCUGCCUAAUAUAUCCUGUAUGAAAAGGUUCUUCUAUCCAGUAUGGAAGUUUAAGAAUUAGUGAUUCAGUAUUGUCCUGCCCAUAUCAGCAUCAGUAUCAUCAGCAGCACCAUCAUCAUGAUCACCGUGACCACCAUCAAGCAAAUACAUUUAUUGAGGGCUUAUUGAAACUGCCAGCACACAUUACCUGGAAGAAACCUCCAUCCUCAAAGACUUGGAAAAGGCUGUCCUGGAGCCUGCGUGGAGGUUACAAAAACCAUCCCUCUGGUGGUGGCCUGAGCAGAUGACUUCAACCCCAAUGUUGCCCUGAACGUUGCAUUCAAGAUUUGAGAAGAUUAGGACUGCUAAGGUAUGGACUUGUGACUUCUAUCUUUUUUGAAGGCAAAUACAUUUAAAGAUAGUUAAUCAUUUUCACAGCCUUCUCUCCUCCUCAUCUGCUCUUUUCUUUUUCUCUUGCCUUUCUCCCUCCCUCCUUUUAAGCAAUGAUCUAGUCUUUUGUUACCAGCUUGUGGGAUGUGGUGGGAUGGAUAAAAUUAUAAUGGAAGAAAUGGAAGGCUACCCUGUCUCAAUAACAGAGGUGAUCAGAGGGGAGGCAGUCUAAGCAUGAAGAGAAAUUCGUGCAGACAUCUUUGAUAGAAAAAAGAAAUUGAGAUUGUUCCUUAUGUGAUAAGAGACAUGUAAAGAAGUGGUACAUGUGAUAAACUGUGUAUUUCCAUAUUCUAUGUCCACAGAAGACUUUUGGCAAACUGUUGUAUUAUAUCUUAAGAUUUGAGGAUAAUUGUGUUUAUAUAUCUUAGAUGCAUACCUAGGCUAGUGUUAGAAUCUUCUGAGUUGAGUCAGGUGAUCCCAUCUUCUUUUCUAGUUACAAUGAUAAUCAUUCUUUGUGUGUUUGUGUAUGGUAUAUAUGUACAUACACAUACUUACAU